CGUAGACCUCAUAUCACCCCUGUAUGUAUUUGGUAUUUUUGUAGAUCUAGGAUUUUUUUGUAUUUUUUAGAUCCGUAAAAUGAUGAUUUGGGAAUUACAAAUCAAUGCAGAACUUGAUUUCGUUUUCCUCAGGUGCAGAUCUGGAGUUUUGAAGCUUUAGUAGAUUUUGAGAUUAAAACGAAAUUAGUGGUUGAAUUUGUUCAAUGUCCUGUUGAACAAUGUUUAAAAAAAGGAUUAAGUGAAUUUAUUGAGAAGUUUGAAUUGGACAUUGAACACUUUG